rnacentral:rRNA from 1 species
UACGAAGGGGGCUAGCGUUGCUCGGAAUCACUGGGCGUAAAGGGCGCGUAGGCGGUCUUUUAAGUCGGGGGUGAAAGCCUGUGGCUCAACCACAGAAUGGCCUUCGAUACUGGGACGCUUGAGUAUGGUAGAGGUUGGUGGAACUGCGAGUGUAGAGGUGAAAUUCGUAGAUAUUCGCAAGAACACCGGUGGCGAAGGCGGCUCACUGGCCCGGUUCUGACGCUGAGGCACGAAAGCGUGGGGAGCAAACAGG